CCUACGGGAGGCAGCAGUGAGGAAUAUUGGUCAAUGGGCGCGAGCCUGAACCAGCCAAGUCGCGUGAGGGAAGAAUGUCCUAUGGAUUGUAAACCUCUUUUGUCGGGGAGCAAAAGACCCCACGCGUGGGGUUCCGAGAGUACCCGAAGAAAAAGCAUCGGCUAACUCCGUGCCAGCAGCCGCGGUAAUACGGAGGAUGCGAGCGUUAUCCGGAUUUAUUGGGUUUAAAGGGUGCGCAGGCGGGAUAUCAAGUCAGCGGUAAAAUCGAGAAGCUCAACUCCAUCGAGCCGUUGAAACUGGUGUUCUUGAGUGGGUGAGAAGUAUGCGGAAUGCGUGGUGUAGCGGUGAAAUGCAUAGAUAUCACGCAGAACUCCGAUUGCGAAGGCAGCAUACCGGCGCUCAACUGACGCUCAAGCACGAAAGUGUGGGUAUCGAACAGGAUUAGAUACCCCAGUAGUC
rnacentral:rRNA from 1 species